rnacentral:lncRNA from 10 species
UAUUACUCACAAUAUGCUGAGUGCCACGUGCUGACGUCACUAAGAUCAAUACAGCAAACUCUGAAAGAUGGACAGAGAGACAGGAGAUGGUCCUUUAUAAUGCAGUGUGAUCUGUGCUGCAAUAGAGUUUUGGAAGCUAGAAGUUCAAAACGAGGUGUUGGCAGCACCAUGCUCUCUCUGAAGAUGCUAGGAAGAAUCUGCUCCAUGCCUUUCCAUUCGCUCCUGGGGUUUCCUGCAAGCCCUGACAUUCCUUGGCUUGUAGAUGCAUCACCCCAGUUUCCGCCCCCAUCAUCACA